rnacentral:lncRNA from 1 species
UUAUAAAAAGAGUUCUUUGAACGCGCAAAGCGCGACCAAACUUAUUAACAGGUUUCUACCUGUGUGCUUUUUGUCUAAAAUUAGAAAUCAAGGGUAUUUUUGACUUCUUAGGCAUUCAGAUCUCGUGUCUCUUAAUUUUAUAGCCACAGCAUCACUACAAUCCGCGUGUGUUUUAAUACAAAGGCCACAACAUCUUCGAACUUACAGCAAAAAGCAGAGCUCCAUCAACCUCACCAGAUCAACCCGCUCUGUUCCCCGUCCUAGCCUCUGCUCCUGGGUUAGUUUCUUCCACUCGCUCUGAAUUCUUUUAUAUCUUUCUUUCGAUCUUACUUUCUAUGUUCUCAGUUGGACUGUAAACUACUUUGCCUUUUGUCAAUUUUUAUUGCACUUUAUUGAGCAUUUGGUUUUUGCGCUUCUUUUUUUUUCCACUACGUUUUGUCUGAUGCGAAUCAUUUUUUCACCAGCUAUUGACUUCAUCUAUUGUUACACUGCUUGUUUGAGUUCUAUUCUGAUUUUUUCUUUAUUUCCCAAUUUGUUCUUUACAUAUAUGAAUUGUCUAUGCUCAAACACUUUUUGGUGGAAUUUUCAAAUUUAAACAAGGAGAAAUAUAUUAGCUUAAUAUUGAUGAUUUUGCUCAUCUAUUAUGAUUGUUCCCCUUCUUUGUCUUUGCUUAAUAAUAUUGUCAAAUUAGGUUGAAUUGAUUCAUGAUGUCUUCUCUGCUUCAUUUGAACAAAUGUGAACUUCACUAGAACUAGGAAACCCCAGAGGGUUUUGGUUGAGUUGGGACUAAGAGUGUACUUAUGAAAAAAUCCACUCUGGUUUGAUGUUUUAGUCUAGAGUAAGAUGGUAAUUAAGCAAAGUAGCAGACAGAUACCAACUAAUUUAGUGCAGAAUUAAACUGUUCUACCAAAAAUCUGACAUAUGAAAAUUGAUGCUGGAAGGUUAGGUCUCUUGAUUUGCGCCACACUUCUUCUUCAUAAUACAUGUAUACAUAUAUGAAGUUAUAUGAUAUAUUUUUUCUUUCACCUGUAUAAUAUUUUCAUUGCUUGAUUACUGAAAUUCUGAAGUGGAUUAUGCACUUAUGAUGUUUGAUGAUAUGCCUUCUUUAUUUAGUGCUACUUAUUUGGAGUUACAUACUUAUAUUUUGUAGCCAAAAUACUUUCUUGGGAUAAAACUAAAUAGAACUAUUGGUUUCGGGAGUGGAGCCACGUACUUCAGUCUGUACGAUGAGCCUCUCAUUCACAUAUCCCCUUGUUACUAAAAAGAAAGUAGCUAAGACCAGUUCAUACCAAAGAAUUUUUUUUGUUAUCUUUCAUUAUUAUCUUAGUUCAACCUUUGAUGGAAACCUCCUUCUGGUAUUUAUUUAUUUUUUUAUUUUUUUUAAUAAGGUAUUUAUAUUAAAUGUAUUGGACAACUACUGAGGAUACAUUGUUUGAUGUAGUUCUCAUAUGCCAGUGACAAGUAAGUAUUUACCACAAUUAAAUUUUGUUUCUACAAUCUAUAUUCUUUCUUUCCACCAUACAGUGACAUUCACUUUCAUGCCCUCAUUUUCUCAUUGUUUCUUCUUACUACAUUAUGUCAUCAGAAUUUAGUUUAUGAAUGGAUGUUUUCUUAAAAUACUGAUCUUAUUUCAAUCAAAUAAUAUGAAAUAAUAGUAGGAAGGUGGUCAAGAUGUUAAAAUCUCCGUAUAGGAUAUUUUUCAUUAAAAAAAUCACUAUAUAGGACAUUCAUUUCUACUGGUUGUACAUCAUUUCAUUUACGUUAUAAAAUUAUAGUUCAAUCAAAGCACUUUGUGUGAUGGAAUUUAGGAAGUCUGUUCUUUUACAGAGAGUAUAUGAUUAGUGACCAGACAGAGAGGAAGUUUUUGAUUUUUAUGUUUACCAUUAGGUGUUGAUAUAUGUUGAUCAGCUCUAAAAGUUAGGGCACUUAGAAAUGAAAGAAAGUACUUGUGUUAAUCUGGUUUGAAGUCAAUUUGUAUGCCUGAUAAUUAUGGAGUACUCUGUAUUGUAAGAACGGAGACAUAAAAUAUCAAUGGUUAAACAUGACAAUUUGAAAGUUAUAAGAAGUGAGACUCCCAUUUUACCUUACUGUUUAUGUAGCUCCUCGUAAGUUUAUACCAUGAAUCCCAGUUUGUAUCAAGUGCACUUGAUGGCCUUUUAACUUGGAAAUAUGAGGUUGUUCUUGAGCAAGGAAUACUCCAAUAAGAAAUUUUAUAUCAAAUUUAGGAGGACUGUCUUAACAACUACUCCAUCUUAUUAGUUGAAAUCAGGUUGUAAUAUCUAUCGCUGGUUAUUGUAACGGAAGUAUUAGUGGCACUAUGCCAAUAUAAGGAUUAAGGAUUAAUCCUUUUCCCCAUAAAUUGUAUUGCGAAAAUUUUUCAUAGUCAAAGAAAUAUUGUUCUUAAAAAAGGAGUGCUCAGUAUUAUAAUAAUAUGGGAAGAAUAGGAACUUCUGGCGCGCACUAAAUACAAGAUUCCAUAGAUAUGAUACCAUAAUAAGCUUGCAUUUAAAAUUUGCCAGAAACUCAAAAGCAUUUGAAUUUUUUAUUCACUGAUCCAUGUGUGUGGAUCGUGUACUGUCAUUUAAAUAUUGGUUCUUUCAAAUAUUGCAUUAGUUUAUAAUCUUUUUUUUUUGAAUUUGGGUGACGUUUGUACAAUAUCAUUAUCCAUGUAAAUUUUUGUUGAUGAUGGUUCUUACUCCAGUGAUUCCUCUCUAUUUAUCUAGGAGGAGGAUGUCAAGAAUAAAAUAAGGAUGAUAAGAACAUCUUAUGAUCAUGGAGAAAGCAUGAAAGAGAAAGAAUGAUAAGGAGGGGGGAGCUUCCAAGAACAAUGAAGGUAACAUAUAGUUCACCUGCAAAAAUGUCAAGAUCAUCAAGCCUAAACUUUGAGCAAGGGCAUACCUAAUCCAUCUCUUUUACUAUUGUGGCUGAUUAUGAUGGAAGAAAACUGUCAUUUUUGUAUUGUCGUUGCGCUCCCAUAGAUGUAAAAAGUGUAUCAUUUGGGGAUCAUACUAUAUUUGUGAGUGGAUAUUUGUUUCAAAUUAUAUCUACUUAUAUCCAGCGAUAUUGUCUAUAUUUGAUAAAUUUUUACAUAUCCUCUCUUCUGCCAUUUCAUAUCAAAAUAGAG